rnacentral:rRNA from 1 species
GAUGAACGCUGGCGGCGUGCCUAAUACAUGCAAGUCGAGCGAACGGACGAGAAGCUUGCUUCUCUGAUGUUAGCGGCGGACGGGUGAGUAACACGUGGAUAACCUACCUAUAAGACUGGGAUAACUUCGGGAAACCGGAGCUAAUACCGGAUAAUAGUUUGAACCGCAUGGUUCAAAAGUGAAAGACGGUCUUGCUGUCACUUAUAGAUGGAUCCGCGCUGCAUUAGCUAGUUGGUAAGGUAACGGCUUACCAAGGCAACGAUGCAUAGCCGACCUGAGAGGGUGAUCGGCCACACUGGAACUGAGACACGGUCCAGACUCCUACGGGAGGCAGCAGUAGGGAAUCUUCCGCAAUGGGCGAAAGCCUGACGGAGCAACGCCGCGUGAGUGAUGAAGGUCUUCGGAUCGUAAAACUCUGUUAGUAGGGAAGAACAUAUGUGUAAGUAACUGUGCACAUCUUGACGGUACCUAAUCAGAAAGCCACGGCUAACUACGUG